rnacentral:rRNA from 1 species
UACGUAGGGGCCUAGCGUUGUCCGGAAUUAUUGGGCGUAAAGAGCUCGUAGGCGGUUCGGCAAGUCGGAUGUGAAAUCUCCACGCUUAACGUGGAGGGGCCAUUCGAAACUGCCGUGACUCGAGUCCGGUAGGGGAGUGUGGAAUUCCUGGUGUAGCGGUGAAAUGCGCAGAUAUCAGGAAGAACACCCGUGGCGAAGGCGGCAUCCUGGACCGGUAUUGACGCUGAGGAGCGAAAGCCAGGGGAGCAAACGGG